rnacentral:rRNA from 1 species
CAGUAGCCGCGGUAAUACGGAGGGCGCGAGCGUUACCCGGAUUUACUGGGCGUAAAGGGCGUGUAGGCGGCCUGGGGCGUCCCAUGUGAAAGGCCACGGCUCAACCGUGGAGGAGCGUGGGAUACGCUCAGGCUAGAGGGUGGGAGAGGGUGGUGGAAUUCCCGGAGUAGCGGUGAAAUGCGCAGAUACCGGGAGGAACGCCGAUGGCGAAGGCAGCCACCUGGUCCACUUCUGACGCUGAGGCGCGAAAGCGUGGGGAGCAAACAGGAUUAGAGACCCCCGUAGUCCCUGUCUCUUAUCC